GAGGAAUAAGACGAGUGCUGCGGGCGUCGUCUCUCACACUCAUCGGGGGGUUCCCCCGUGUCCCUACACACGGCCGUCAGCGCCGCCAGCUCGCGAGGCACGCUCGUGUCUCAGGGCGGACACGUGUAUAGGAAUGCGAGGCCCUAUCGGAAGAACGCGCAUCCCAGUUCUCAGUGGUCCCUUUAGAGUACAAUUACUGGUCAGUAUAGAAACAUAGAUACAACAUACUUAGCCUUAGCUAAAGAGUGAAUUCCACAGAUAGAUCCACACAAACGGACAAAAUGCACAAAAUACAAAUACCGCACUAGUAUAGUUUUAGUUUAGACGAUGCACUUGAUAAUGUGCUGAGAGUAAAUAAGUAUUUGAAGGGUGUGAGAGUCAAAUCUUAAUAAGUAUUUAACAUAAAAUAAAAAUUAAAAGAAGUGUGGUUGACAUAUAUUGAAAGGUGAAUCCUGUAAACCCAGGCCAGUGAUUAGAGUUAUAUAAGAUAGGUAUUUAAUGAAGAUGAUUAUUCAAAUAGAUGCUUGUUGAAAGCCGAGAGGACUCAAAAUCAUAAAAUAAUAUUUGUGUAUUGCAUUUUUUAUUAACUUUGUGCCUUAUCGACGUGGCUAUUAGAUAAGCCUACGAAAGUAAAUGAUAUAUUUCAGUAUUUUAAAAACAUUCCAUAGAAAACAUUUUGACUUCUUAAAGAUGGAUCAAAAUUGUAGAUCCUUUAAAGUACAGUCUAGCUAGAAUAUAUAUAUUUGAAUAACUUUUUACUAAAGUAGAUAGUACCAAAAGAUUGAGGAAUAAUUUUACCAAACAACAUGCCAUAUUUUAAAUUUUAUAGAAUAGGUAUAAACUAGAUAUGGUGAGAUAAAUAAUAAAUCUUGAGUAUUUAUUUCAAUAAUAAUAUUAUUUUAUCUGUAUUAUUAAAACGGUACCUGACACUAUAUUGGUGUAAAGUGCAAAUAAUUGUGAUAGACAUAUUUUAAUUUUAUUAUUUUAAGCUCAAUAUUUGACAUGUAUUUAGUUGUUAGCAAUAAACGUAUUUUUUAUUA